rnacentral:rRNA from 1 species
UACGAAGGGGGCUAGCGUUGCUCGGAAUUACUGGGCGUAAAGCGCACGUAGGCGGAUUGUUAAGUCGGGGGUGAAAUCCUGGAGCUCAACUCCAGAACUGCCUUCGAUACUGGCGAUCUAGAGUCCGGGAGAGGUGAGUGGAACUGCGGAGUGUAGAGGUGAAAUUCGUAGAUAUUCGCAAGAACACCAGUGGCGAAGGCGGCUCACUGGCCCGGUACUGACGCGUGAGG